GAUGAACGCUGGCGGCGUGCCUAAUACAUGCAAGUCGAGCGAACAGACGAGGAGCUUGCUCCUCUGACGUUAGCGGCGGACGGGUGAGUAACACGUGGAUAACCUACCUAUAAGACUGGGAUAACUUCGGGAAACCGGAGCUAAUACCGGAUAAUAUAUUGAACCGCAUGGUUCAAUAGUGAAAGACGGUUUUGCUGUCACUUAUAGAUGGAUCCGCGCCGCAUUAGCUAGUUGGUAAGGUAACGGCUUACCAAGGCAACGAUGCGUAGCCGACCUGAGAGGGGGAUCGCCCACACUGGAACUGAGACCCGGUCCAGACCCCUCCGGGAGGCAGCAGUAGGGAAUCUUCCGCAAUGGGCGAAAGCUUGACGGAGCACCGCCGCGGGAGUGAUGAAGGUCUUCGGAUCGUAAAACUCUGUUAUUGGGGAAGAAAAAAUGUGUAAGUAACUAUGCACGUCUUGACGGUACCUAAUAAGAAAGCCACGGCUAACUACGUG
rnacentral:rRNA from 1 species